rnacentral:tRNA from 1 species
AUAGAAGUAAAAUUACACUCAGUUUCGGCCUGAAAAUAGGUUGCUUUAACCCUAUUUAUU